UCCCAGCGCCACAAGUGGCAAUCGCUUUUAUUGGGCCUAAAGCGUCCGUAGCAGGUUUUGUAAAUCUUUUGUGAAAGCGUUAUACUCAAUAUAACGAAUGGCAAGAGACACUGCAAAACUAGGAACCGGUAGGAGUCAGGGGUAUUCUUGGGGGAGCGGUAAAAUGUUAUAAUCCCAAGAGGACCACCCGUGGCGUAGGCGCCUGACUAGAACGGAUUCGACUGUGAGGGACGAAAGCUAGGGGAGCAAUCCG
rnacentral:rRNA from 1 species